AAUGUUAUGAGAGUAUUAUAUGGGAUAUUUUACGGGAAAAUAUUUAAACGGGAAGACAGCGGAAAAACGUUACAAUACGUGAGAAACUCGGAAAGAACGGGAGGGUUAACGGGAGGUAUGCUGGUUUCAUGAGGUUGGGCCAACUGGACUGUUGGUGUGGUUUGCUAAUGCCCCAUGAGCUGGUUACGCCUUCACCCACCUGCCCAACCCCUACAGCAUGCACCACUGGGGAACGUACCGCUUGGCUGCUUGCAUGUUAAGGAAGACAACUGUGUCAGGGGGAAUGAGCACUUGAGUGUUUCCCAAAAGCAGGCUAAGCAGAAGGAAACAAGUGGAUGGCCAAAGGAUACGUGUUCAGUGGGACCUCUGCCUUACUGAUGAUUGCACUAGCAGUCUCCUGGAUGUCCUUCAUUUCCACUGGGGCU